rnacentral:rRNA from 1 species
ACUACAUGUACAGGAUAGGUGGGAGGCUUUGAAACCAGGACGCCAGUUUUGGCGGAGCCAUCCUUGGGAUACCACCCUUGUAGUACUGGGACUCUAACCAUAGGCCAUGAAUCUGGUCUUGGGACACUGUCAGGUGGGCAGUUUGACUGGGGCGGUCGCCUCCCAAAAGGUAACGGAGGCGCUCAAAGGUUCUCUCAGUACGGUCGGAAAUCGUACGUAGAGUGUAAAGGCAAAAGGGAGCUUGAUUGCAAGACAUA